ensembl:lncRNA
GUUACACUUGGAUUCCCAUAGUUCCCUCAUCCACCUCAAAGGACAGGAGCCGAUUUGAGAAUGGCAUUCGUAUAGAAGAGGGGAGGGUGAUAGACUGCAAUCUGCUAUGCCUCCGGGAUUUGCACGACUCAAGGACCCUAACGCAAGCAGGAAAGAUUAUGGCCAACCUCUCCCACCCUGGACAGAAACCUUUUGAAAAACUCUUCUCCGACUUACUCCCGGCUUCUGCCCGAUUGAUGUGGCCUAAAAAACAAUUAUUGAAAAACGAAAUCCUGGGAAAGUGUGUAAUGUCAUAGAUUUUGCUCGUGCCAAAAUGAGUUACUACUGAAUGGACCUCUGAAUGGAGCAGUAGGAGAGAAUGUGACGUUCAUGUUCAUUAAACCACCAUCUGCAACACCUCGGGGAAUCACCUGGCGUUUUAAAGGAAAUAGAGAGAUUCAAGUCUUCAAUUCAAUUGGCAAUGAAGAGGAUAUACAUGGUGAUUAUGUUGGUAGAAUCUCUGUGGACAAAACCACCGCUUCACUGGAGCUCAGGGGCCUGACUCUAAAUGACACUGGGCUGUAUACUGUGAGAAUCACCUUCAUCAGUGGUGGUGUAGAAAGCCAGGGAGACACAUCCCUCACAGUGUUUG